rnacentral:piRNA from 1 species
UGAUAAAAUAGGCCUAACCUACACAAUGU